rnacentral:rRNA from 1 species
AUUGAACGCUGGCGGCAUGCCUUACACAUGCAAGUCGAACGGCAGCAUGGAGAGCUUGCUCUCUGAUGGCGAGUGGCGAACGGGUGAGUAAAGCAUCGGAACGUACCGUGUAAUGGGGGAUAACGUAGCGAAAGUUACGCUAAUACCGCAUACGACCUGAGGGUGAAAGCAGGGGAUCGCAAGACCUUGCGUUAUACGAGCGGCCGAUGUCAGAUUAGCUAGUUGGUAGGGUAAAGGCCUACCAAGGCGACGAUCUGUAGCGGGCCUGAGAGGAUGAUCCGCCACACUGGGACUGAGACACGGCCCAGACUCCUACGGGAGGCAGCAGUGGGGGAUUUUGGACAAUGGGGGCAACCCUGAUCCAGCCAUGCCGCGUGAGUGAAGAAGGCCUUCGGGCUGUAAAGCUCUUUCGGCCGGGAAGAAAUCGCACAGGCUAAUACUCUGUGUGGAUGACGGUACCGGCAUAAGAAGCACCGGCUAACUACGUGCCAGCAGCCGCCGUAA